AAAUGUUUGAAAUUCUAAAAGCAGUGCUGUGAAACUUUUUUAGCUCAUCAAGCUGGAAACAUGCGACAAAAGCCGCUGGGCAGUUGCCCACACACAGAAGUUUUGUACUCCGUUCAGUGUGUUGUUAUCAAUGUGGGAGUGAAAAGUUGAGCGUGCGUCGGAAUUACGCACAUUGGCAACAGAAGCCUUUGGGGUCCUUUCGGGAUAACAUAAUGCAGCAGCUCGCCUGAGACAGUCAACUAACAAAUUAUCUCUGCAUGUGUGCAUCACUCAAAAGUCUACAGCAACGUGUGCGUGCGUGUGUGUGUGAGUGUGUGUGUGCGGGGGCGUGGAACUGGAACUGAUGCCAUCUCAAGCAUGUGGUCAACAGCAACAACAACAACAACAACAACAACAACAAUGGAAGCAAAGCCAUCAGCUCAACGCUGUUGUCUGGCAAAUUAAGAACAAUCCCGAGCAAUUUCCGGUACGAGAAACUCGAAAAUUGUUCAGCUUUUAGCGAUUACAUAAACGGAAGUUGUCGUGCCCAUAUAACUGACUCCUCUCGAGAUUGCUUUAAUCUCUAUUAUUUAUAUUCAAGAUAUUGUUAUGCUUAUUAUUAUUAUUAUUAUGAUUCGAAUACGGAUUCUAGAUUUUAAAUAGUACAAUUUACAAUGUCAUAAAACUACGCGGUAUAAGAAUAUAAAAUCCACGAAAAGUUAGUGUGGGGUAUAUCA